GGGCCCGUGGGUUAGUCUGGUCUAUGCUAGAUGCUUUGGGAGCAUUUGACCCUGGUUCAAAUCCAGGCGGGCCCACCA
rnacentral:tRNA from 4 species